rnacentral:rRNA from 1 species
UACGUAGGGCGCAAGCGUUGUCCGGAAUUAUUGGGCGUAAAGAGCUCGUAGGCGGUUUGUCGCGUCGGAUGUGAAAGCCCGGGGCUUAACCCCGGGUCUGCAUUCGAUACGGGCAGACUUAGAUUCGGUAGGGGAGACUGGAAUUCCUGGUGUAGCGGUGAAAUGCGCAGAUAUCAGGAGGAACACCGGUGGCGAAGGCGGGUCUCUGGGCCGAUACUGACGCUGAGGAGCGAAAGCGUGGGGAGCGAACAGG